AUUGUCCUUCACCCACCACCACCUUCUGGAAACCACUAAUCUAUGUUCUGUUCUCUUUAGAUUUAUCUAUUCUAGAUUAAAUUAUCUAUUCUAGAUAUUUA